AAAAUAUAUUUUCUUUUUGUAAAAAAAAAACGUAAAUUCACAUUAAUCACAAAUUAUUUUCAAGAAUAAACAAACCGCAUUUUCUUGGUGUGGCACGAAAUAACUUUACACCGUCCUGUAUCAUCCUCUCGCGAGACUUCAUCGAGAAGCGCAAAAUAGGAGUUCAAGGAGCGGCAAUGUUUAGAGAGACUGGUUAAGUGUAAUGAAAUGCACAACUUACGUCCAAGAUUGACUCUAAUUCUUCACAUAAACCAUGUUCUCUUUCCCAAAAAUCUUGGUUUCGCUAGGAGUGCAGUAAAGGGAACGUUGGAAGAAGUGUAGAUAUCAUGGCCACAGGCCAGUGGGCCAGAACCUUGAAGCCUGGCAAGGAUUAUGAGACUGGAAACUCCCAUUGAGACUACCAAAUGAAGAGAAAGUUUCAGACUGUUUAACUCGGACUAAGGGAAAAGAAGCAAAUUACAACAAGGAGAAUAUUGCCGAGAAAGGUAAGCUGUUCAAAUAAUGUUAAUGUAUGAUUUUAAUGUUCUGUUCACACGGAGAGUUUAAUUCACAGUAUUUUAAUGCCAAGUAAAUU